UACGUAGGGCGCAAGCGUUGUCCGGAAUUAUUGGGCGUAAAGAGCUCGUAGGCGGCUUGUCACGUCGGGUGUGAAAGCCCGGGGCUUAACCCCGGGUCUGCAUUCGAUACGGGCUGGCUAGAGUGUGGUAGGGGAGAUCGGAAUUCCUGGUGUAGCGGUGAAAUGUGUAGAGAUCGGGAGGAACACCGGUGGCGAAGGCGGGUCUCUGGGCAUCUCCUGACGCUGAGGCGCGAAAGCGUGGGGAGCAAACGGG
rnacentral:rRNA from 1 species